rnacentral:rRNA from 1 species
AGUCUCAGUUCGGAUUGAAGGCUGAAAUUCGCCUUCAUGAAGCCGGAAUUGCUAGUAAUGGCAGGUCAGCAUACUGCCGUGAAUACGUUCCCGGGCCUUGUACACACCGCCCGUCACACCAUGAGAGUUGGGGAUACCCGAAGCCUGUGAGCUAACUUUUAGAGGCAGCAGUCGAAGGUAGAAUCAAUGAUUGGGGUGAAGUCGUAACAAGGUAGC